rnacentral:rRNA from 1 species
AGGGUUCGAUUAUGGCUCAGGACGAACGCUGGCGGCGUGCCUAACACAUGCAAGUCGAACGAGAAUCAAUGGACGGAGUUUUCGGACAACUGAAGUUGAGGAAAGUGGCGGACGGGUGAGUAACGCGUGAGCAACCUGCCUUGGAGUGGGGGACAACAGAGGGAAACUUCUGCUAAUACCGCAUAAAGUGCCGUGAGGGCAUCCUCGUGGCACCAAAGAUUUAUCGCUCUGAGAUGGGCUCGCGUCUGAUUAGAUAGUUGGUGGGGUAACGGCCUACCAAGUCUGCGAUCAGUAGCCGGGUUGAGAGACUGAACGGCCACAUUGGGACUGAGAUACGGCCCAG